ACCUACUGUGAUGGUGACGGUGCCCCCUGACCGGGGCUCAAAAGGGAAUGCGGUGCCGGACGUCCUUAACGGAUCGUUCGAAGGCCGCAGCUGCCCCCGCAACUGUAAGCGGCGAAUCUCACGUCAGAUGCCACUGGGAAUUCUCGGUCCUGGGAAGGCGGCGUUGAGGUGACGACCCGCGAGCCAGGAGACCUGCCGUCAGCCGUGGUCACAC
rnacentral:ncRNA from 2 species